AUAAUACCUCAAGGGUUGUCCAUUUAAUUGUUGGAACUUCAGGUUCUCAACACUGUUAAAUUUUGAACUUCAGGCCAAAGCUACAUAUUCUCAUGGUAUGGACAUUUUUACAAUUUUCUGUACAUAUUUCUGGACUUCAAGCCCUUACAUAAUUGUCCAUAUUUUGAGGAAUUUCUGGCAUCUCAUUUAAUUGCUCAUCCAUGAGUUUAAGGAACUGCAGAUUCCCUUUUGUAUAUAGUGACGGUUUACCCAAAAUGGUUCAUAUUUAUGCAUACGUCACUAUUCAUGUGAAUAGUACUAUUCAUCAAGUCAUGAAUACGUAUCUAUUCAUCUGCCAGUACAGUUAUCAUCAAUGUGUACGGCACCAUGAAACUGCAGGUUCCCUUUUGUAUAUAAUGACGGUUUACCCAAAAUGGUUCAUAUUUAUGCAUACGUCACUAUUCAUGUGAAUAGUAUUAUUCAUCAAGUCAUGAAUACGUAUCUAUUCAUCUGCCAGUACAGUUAUCAUCAAUGUGUACGGCACUAUGAACCAAUACGGUACUGUUACAUCAUUAAGGAACUCUAGGUCCUUAUUUACAUGUCAGGGAUCAAGGACCCUUAAUUUCGAUCACAUGUUUACAAAUACAGUACCGGAGAGACUGCCAGCUCUCAUAUUAAUAUCAUCAUCAAGGAUCUUCAAGUCCUGAUGUAAUUGUAUGAUGAGGAUCAAGGAACUUCUGGUCCUGAUCUGCAUACUGUAAAAACUCAUCAUACAGCAC
rnacentral:lncRNA from 1 species